GACGAACGCUGGCGGCGUGCCUAAUACAUGCAAGUUGAGCGAUGAAGAUUGGUGCUUGCACCAAUUUGAAGAGCAGCGAACGGGUGAGUAACGCGUGGGGAAUCUGCCUUUGAGCGGGGGACAACAUUUGGAAACGAAUGCUAAUACCGCAUAACAACUUUAAACAUAAGUUUUAAGUUUGAAAGAUGCAAUUGCAUCACUCAAAGAUGAUCCCGCGUUGUAUUAGCUAGUUGGUGGGGUAAAGGCUCACCAAGGCGAUGAUACAUAGCCGACCUGAGAGGGUGAUCGGCCACAUUGGGACUGAGACACGGCCCAAACUCCUACGGGAGGCAGCAGUAGGGAAUCUUCGGCAAUGGACGAAAGGCUGACCGAGCAACGCCGCGUGAGUGAAGAAGGUUUUCGGAUCGUAAAACUCUGUUGGUAGAGAAGAACGUUGGUGAGAGUGGAAAGCUCAUCAAGUGACGGUAACUACCCAGAAAGGGACGGCUAACUACGUG
rnacentral:rRNA from 1 species